rnacentral:rRNA from 1 species
CGCCGGUAAGGUGAUAUGAACCGUUAUAACCGGCGAUACCCGAAUGGGGAAACCCAGUGUGACUCGUCACACUAUCAUUAACUGAAUCCAUAGGUUAAUGAGGCGAACCGGGGGAACUGAAACAUCUAAGUACCCCGAGGAAAAGAAAUCAACCGAGAUUCCCCCAGUAGCGGCGAGCGAACGGGGAGGAGCCCAGAGCCUGAAUCAGCAUGUGUGUUAGUGGAAGCGUCUGGAAAGGCGCGCGAUACAGGGUGACAGCCCCGUACACAAAAGCGCAUGUGCUGUGAGCUCGAUGAGUAGGGCGGGACACGUGGUAUCCUGUCUGAAUAUGGGGGGACCAUCCUCCAAGGCUAAAUACUCCUGACUGACCGAUAGUGAACCAGUACCGUGAGGGAAAGGCGAAAAGAACCCCGGCGAGGGGAGUGAAAAAGAACCUGAAACCGUGUACGUACAAGCAGUGGGAGCACCCUUUGGGUGUGACUGCGUACCUUUUGUAUAAUGGGUCAGCGACUUAUAUUCUGUAGCAAGGUUAACCGAAUAGGGGAGCCGGAGGGAAACCGAGUCUUAAC